AAGCCCACGUUAUCCGUACUACAAUAUCGGUUGUACCGUGACCGGAAGCAGUUUAAGCACACACUUGCUUGGAGCAAAGAUUUUGCUGUCUAUGCUCUGGACUGUUAUCAGUUGUCAAGAAAGCGCUUACGUUGCAAGCUCAGAAAGCCAGGAGCACACAUGAAAUAAACGUUCAAUGUAGAAUAUCAAAAAAUUUGGAAAUGUGUCUAAAAGAAUCAGGAGGAGUUGGGGAUCACGACACACUGUCCGAAAUGUAUGUACCUAACCUCAAAGGGACAAGCGGUUAUAAUAUUUGUUGAAAUCUUGAGGUAUUCUUCUAGACGUGAACGGAGCAGUUCGCCCCAUAUUGGAGCGGUGAAGACUGGCCUGUAAACAAACGCAAGGUUUGUGAAAACUGAAUGCAUCGGCACCACACCCCCACCUUUAGGCGAAAACCAUCUGCAAGCAGAAGCUUAAGGCAGCAAUGAGAGACGGAACCCUUUAAACCUG
ensembl:lncRNA